AUUGAACGCUGGCGGCAGGCCUAACACAUGCAAGUCGAGCGGAUGAAGAGAGCUUGCUCUCUGAUUUAGCGGCGGACGGGUGAGUAACGCCUAGGAAUCUGCCUGGUAGUGGGGGAUAACGUUCCGAAAGGAACGCUAAUACCGCAUACGUCCUACGGGAGAAAGCAGGGGACCUUCGGGCCUUGCGCUAUCAGAUGAGCCUAGGUCGGAUUAGCUAGUUGGUGAGGUAAUGGCUCACCAAGGCUACGAUCCGUAACUGGUCUGAGAGGAUGAUCAGUCACACUGGAACUGAGACACGGUCCAGACUCCUACGGGAGGCAGCAGUGGGGAAUAUUGGACAAUGGGCGAAAGCCUGAUCCGGCCAUGCCGCGUGUGUGAAGAAGGUCUUCGGAUUGUAAAGCACUUUAAGUUGGGAGGAAGGGCAGUAAGUUAAUACCUUGCUGUUUUGACGUUACCGACAGAACAAGCACCGGCUAACUUCGUGCCAGCAGCCGCCGUAAAAC
rnacentral:rRNA from 1 species